rnacentral:misc_RNA from 1 species
CCGAGUUUUGGGCCGCAAGGUCCUGACUUCCACCCACUGUUUAUACGAACGAUACUUCGGCAAGCCGCGGCAGCCUCGAGGGAGAUCUCGAGAGGAGGCCCCGUCGACCUGCGAGAGCGGGUGGGCGUGCGCUUGCCGGACGCCCCAUAACUCUAUUUUGACCUCAGUCGGUUUGAUAUACAAAUAAAUCA